UAUAAGGAAACAGGAAAAAAGAGAGGGUGAGUGGGAAAGGAAAAACACUCAAACAACCGAGCAUGCAUUGAACGCAACACACAAUUUUUAGUAGUUGCCGUAAAAGGGAAACUGGGGGCAAGAAAUCGAAAUUCAUGCAUAAUAUUAGUAUCCAAAAGCAUGCUCAAUUAUUAUGACAGAAAUAUAAGUUAUUUCUAUUGUUUAUAUUGAUUUGUUACUAAAUUAGUAAAAUAUUUAUUUUAUUUAUAUAAAUACAAUUUAUAUGCAUUCGUGUGCAUAUAACUAUACACACACAAACACCUAAAUACAUGCAUUCACAUCCAACCACCAGAUGAUUAUAAGUGCUAUUUAUUCCGGGGUCUCAUGUAAACCGGGUAUUCACAUUCUAGCAGAGAUAUUGUUAAUUGACCUUAAUAGACCAAUCGUGCUUUGUUAGAAAAUUAAAGGCGGUCAUAAAGGACACGGAAAGGGAAGAAGAAGAAGAAGAGGACGAGCCCACAAUACACAAGUCUGUUUGCUAUCCAGGAUUCUAUAUUUCAAAAAUUCCAGGCCAACUUGGAUGAAAUGCCUAUGUAGGAUCGAUGUACCCUAACCUCCCCGUAUACGGUACAGAUGUUGUGAGAUUCUGGUUUUGGCUGUUUUUUCUGUUUCCCCAAUAUAAAGUUUAUUACAGUGUGUACAUUCGAUCAUAUAGAUCAAGUUGGUGGUUUGUGGAGUACAUCUGAAUGUUACUGUAGCUCCCUGCCCUGAAUGGCUAUUUACUAUAUACGGUGAGUAUCUGAGUAACCACGUGUCUGUGCUGUUGUUUUUGGAAUGAUCAAAUCGUGUGUGAACCAGUAUGUCUGAUAGGUUUUUAUUUCUUUUAUAGGCUGUAAUCGGGCGGAAAUUAUUCAAGGGGUCGAUUAAUUCCUGUGCCCGGUGGAAAUUGGCCUUUAAGCCUGAAAUUAAACCUGAAAGGUCCUGGGAAUAUGUUAACACCAACGGGACAAGUGCGAGACUACUCUUAUCUGUUUUAUAAUCUUUUUUAUUUUUGAAUGAGUUUCUGACCUCCGAUCUAAUUGACGGCUGGAAUAACCUCUGGGUCUAAGGGCUGUGAACAGAGUCGAGGUAGCCUCAUCUAUGUCCUGCUGGUAAGUGCAUAUCCUAUGGAAUCUUAUUAAUUGUGAUUUGAUGAUCCCUUUAAAUGUGUGUCUGGGGUGGUAACUGCUCUUGUGUAGAAGGGUGUGGCGGUCGGUCUCUUUGAAGUGUACUUUGGUGGCCAGCUGUUUCGAGUGGGCAGUGUGAUUAUGGAAGAAGAUCCGCGUGUCCAGGAAUUCAAUCUCCUGUGUUUGCACCUGGAACGGGACUGUCCAGGUAUCUGGUGGUUUAUGGAUUUUAGGAAGUAGAUAAAAUAGUCUGGAACGCGGAUUAUCUGGGCCAAGGAGGUAGGUCAUCUGUUUAGCCUUAAUAUAUUUAUCUUCAUAUAAUUUUGUAAUUAUUUUCCUAAUCAAAUGCUGUGUUUCUGCCUGCAGAGGUUGUUCCAGGGGGACAUAAUAGGUUGUGUUGUUGAGCUGUCUUUCUGCUUCCAGGAGAUAAUUAAAUCUAUCCUGUAAGACUAUUUGUCCUCCCUUGUCUGCAGGUUUUAUGAUUAUAUCCUGUCUUUUGCUGAGUGCAGAG